GUACACUCCUACGGGAGGCAGCAGUGGGGAAUAUUGCACAAUGGGCGCAAGCCUGAUGCAGCGACGCCGCGUGGGGGAUGAAGGCCUUCGGGUUGUAAACUCCUUUCGCUAGGGACGAAGCUUUUUUGUGACGGUACCUAGAUAAGAAGCACCGGCUAACUACGUGCCAGCAGCCGCGGUAAUACGUAGGGUGCGAGCGUUGUCCGGAAUUACUGGGCGUAAAGGGCUCGUAGGUGGUUUGUCGCGUCGUCUGUGAAAUUCUGGGGCUUAACUCCGGGCGUGCAGGCGAUACGGGCAUAACUUGAGUGCUGUAGGGGUAACUGGAAUUCCUGGUGUAGCGGUGAAAUGCGCAGAUAUCAGGAGGAACACCGAUGGCGAAGGCAGGUUACUGGGCAGUUACUGACGCUGAGGAGCGAAAGCAUGGGUAGCGAACAGGAUUAGAUACCCGAGUAGUCCCAUGAU
rnacentral:rRNA from 1 species